rnacentral:pre_miRNA from 1 species
AAACCGCCCCCUAAGUUUUGCAACUGUAGCAGUUUUGGCCCCCCAAGACUAAUUUUGGUAAAAAAAAAAUAACAUGUGGCACCUCACUUAGGGUGCCACGUCAACAUAGAUCGAUUCAAAAUUGACCUUGGAGGCCAAACUGCCACAUAUGCAAAAAUUAGGGGGCGGUUU